rnacentral:lncRNA from 1 species
AAUUUAAUUAUUCAAACAAAAAAUUUCAUAACAAUGAUUCAUCACAUCCUAGUAAUAUAAAUACUAGCCAAGCAUACUGUCUAAACUAAAAGCCUAUUUGAGAGUGAUUUUUCCACCCUAGAAAUUGAUUUUUUGACCGUUAUUUCACUAUUUCAGCCGUCAUAUUUGACUUAUUCUUUCACAAGUGGACCCCACUUUUUUUCUAACGGUCAAAAAAUCAAUUCUCAAAAUCACUCCCAGACAAACUCUAAACAAAGAAAGGAUGAAAGACAUCACAAAAAAUCGACAAAACAUGAUUAGUUGUUGCAAUUUCGUGUUGCUGCCAACUUGUAUGCCUAGAUAAAAAAUUUCCCUUUCAACUCCUUAAUCCUCUUAGUUUUGUCUCUCCAGCUGUCAACUCUUCCAAUUUUUCUUUCAAAAGCUGCUCCAACUCUAGGUUUGUAUAUAUAAUCACUUAAAGCCAGUAGCUUCCAUGUGUUUUCUGCCUCCAAUUCUCCCUGGCCGUGUAUAUAUUUCAACCUAGCAGCCACAAUGGUUUUUUUCCCUCAAAAAUAACCGCAAUAUUUUUGUAAUUCCACCCCACUUGGCUGCCGUUACUGGUGCGUAUAUAUAUCAAUUCAGCACCUCUUUGUGCUUAAAAGUUGCUGCCAAAUUCAACCCUUUUUAUGCCUAAAAGUAGCUACCAACUAUU